GUGUCCCCUAGAGUUCCCCUCAACGCUUCAUUGAGGACUCUGUUUAGCUUCACUUUGACUAGUUCUCACUGAAGUGUUUGGGGGAGCUCCCGGUGACUC
rnacentral:pre_miRNA from 1 species